rnacentral:rRNA from 1 species
GAUGAACGCUGGCGGCGUGCCUAAUACAUGCAAGUCGAACGAAGCACCUCGGUGCUUAGUGGCGAACGGGUGAGUAACACGUGGGUAACCUGCCCUCAAGACGAGGAUAACCGUUGGAAACGAUGGCUAAGACUGGAUAGGAACUUUGGAGGCAUCUCCGAGGUUUUAAAAGACCUGGCAACAGGUAUGCUUGAGGAGGGGCCUGCGGCGCAUUAGUUAGUUGGCGGGGUGAUGGCCCACCAAGACGAUGAUGCGUAGCCGGANUGAGAGGUUGAACGGCCACAUUGGGACUGAGAGNCNNCCCAAACUCCUACGGGAGGCAGCAAUAGGGAAUUUUCGGCAAUGGGGGAAACCCUGACCGAGCAACGCCGCGUGAACGACGAAAUACUUCGGUAUGUAAAGUUCUUUUAUUGGGGAAGAAUGGCCCGCGGAAAAGCGGGCGUGACGGUACCCGAUGAAUAAGCCC